ensembl:lincRNA
GUGGGUUUCAAGGAUGGGUUUGUUUCUUGUAAAUUCCGAGGCCCGGCUACAAAGCACCACAGUAUGUAAAGACACACAGUCCAAAUAACUGCACACAAAAUUAAAUGUGUUCCAGGCUCGGACUACGUACCAAACGCUGUUUAAUAAAGUGCGACAUGCUGGCUGCGCAUGGAGGAGCUGGGGUGGUCUGUUUGCAGGAAAUAUAAUUUAAACCAGCCGCUUGGCAGGGCUGUGUCAGACUGCAGCGCAGUGCAAACACAGGAACACAGAGCAGAGGGCUUCCCUGUCAUUAGAAAGCAAAGCCAGUCAACUGGAUUAGAAAAACCAAAAACCAGAGGGACGACUGAGAAGGUUUUCUGAUGCUGUUCAGACACCACCAAUUGUGCUCAAGCCUGUGGAAGACGAGACGGAAGCCGGGCGCAACAGGAAACAGGCAUGACAGGCGCACGAGUCAGGUGCUCGCUCUCUUGGCACUGGCAGGGUUAACGGCAGCGAAACCACCGAAACGCUCACUCAGGUUCAGCAGUGUUCGCGGUGUUGUCCAGCUGGAAUCUGCAGAGUCAACAACAAGUCAGAAGACAAGACACCUGCCAGGGCUCCGUAACACAGAGGCACCCGACGCCGGGGAGACGUCUGAUUAAACCCGUUUUCGCAGCAGAUUUAUAACUCGUCUGUUUGAUUUUCAGAACUGAACUGCCUGCCAAGAAUGAGUAAACUAUUCAAAACAAAAAAAGGCAGAAGGCCUACUUACUGUCUAUUUUUUAUUUCAUCCCCUCAUUGUUAAUUACACCAACAUGACAAGUUAAGGAAAUAAACAGAAAAAGUUCUAAAGCUGCAGAAUUCCUAAGUCAUUCAUGUUAACAAAGUUUUAAUGCCACUUUUUAUCAAUUUCAGGAAACACGGAUGCGUUUCCUGUGUUUCCCACAGGCCCUGGGAUUAUACCGAGGCCGUGAACAGACAGACGAUAUCCUCCUGGAGCACCUUCAGCCUCCAACGCUCACCACAGAAUACGAGCAAGAGCAUCCUUCCCUCUUAUUAGUAGAUUAAAUCUGCCCACGUCUGUCUGACCUAAAACCACAUCAAAACUGUUUGUGGUGAGCCAGUGGAUUUAAGACCCACACUGCUGUUUUUACAGGGUUACGCGCUGUGGUGUUUUCAGUGGGUCUCGGCCCAGCGUGCAGCUCGUGGGACUGGGGAGACUCUGGGGCUCACAUCUCGGUUUUAAUUCAACUUGAUAGAAUCCAAUGCGUGUCCUGGAGCACAGCACCUGAUCAUAGACAGACCUGGAAAACUGGGGGGCAUCCUGUCGCCUUAUCAUGGGGUCUGUCGGGUGCGGAAGAUGUACAGUUUACUGCUAGUGCCUGAACUCUGCCCUGCAGUUAUAAUCCACAGCUUCAAUGCAAGGGACCUGCUUUAAAAUUAAAGCAAGAAAGCAAGAAAAAAAAUCAGGGCUUAAAACCUUUUACAAUUCCUUUUACAUAGCUGGAUCCUAACACCACUUUUAGAAGAUGUUUAGAGGGGUUUUUAAAAAAAAUAUAUUAUGAACUUGAAAAUCAGAAAGAAAAUGAUUACAGAUUCAAAGCAUGAGGCCUUACAAACAUCUCUGCAAAAGUCCCUGGGGAGUUUUAUCUGCGUUUUUAAAAACCAGCUUUUUGCAGGUGUCUGUUUUAAGUCACUUCCUUCACAGUGUUCCAUCUGGCCAUGUGUGACCCUCCCCUUCCAGAGAUUUAGGGGUUCAGGGGACCGACAGUAAGGGCCCCGCCGAUAGCCGCUUAUCUGACCCCAGUUUUAACUGUGCCGUCUCAAACCACACUACAUUGUUUUUCGAAGUAGCUGGAGCAGGGAGCUGCGUCAGCAUGCAUGGGCUGCUCAGGAACAGGUACAGGGUUAUUCCCGCUGACAAGAGAAGAAAAGACACGCAAGGUUUCGUCUGUGUGGCCCUCCUCGGGUGUCAAAGGAGGG